ACUUGGUCCUGACUGCGCCUGCGUCAGUACGCCUCCAGUCAGUGUGCGGCUGAGCGCCGAGAGUUGUGGUUUGGCGGGAAAGAUGGAGCGCGGCGACUACGAGACCCAGCGGGAGAAUCACGUGGACAGGAUCCGGGAGGGUCUGGAGGAAGCCGCUAAACUUAUGUCCACCCUAAACCGCAACCUGCAAGCCUGGGGAGAGACGACCAGAGAGACGGAGAAAGUUUCAGAGGUGUGGAUGCAGUUCCAGUGUCGUCUCGCCCUCUUGUCUGAAGCUUUUGCGGGGUGUACUCAGUGACCCCGGCCCGGUUUGGGGUGUCGUACUGAACAUGAAAUGGUUUGCAGUGGAUUGGAUCCGUCAGUGCGGGGGCAGGGCUGGGGCUGGAUUGCGGCACCGGACAGUAAUAAAGUUGAUCCUGCUGCA